GAUGAAGGACGUAGCGAAAUGCGAUACGUAAUGUGAAUUGCAGAAUUCAGUGAAUCAUCGAGUCUUUGAACGCACAUUGCGCCCCCUGGUAUUCCGGGGGGCAUGCCUGUCCGAGCGUCAUUGCUGCCCUCAAGCACGGCUUGUGUGUUGGGCCUCCGUCCUCCUCCCGGGGGACGGGCCCGAAAGGCAGCGGCGGCACCGCGUCCGGUCCUCGAGCGUAUGGGGCUUUGUCACCCGCUCUGUAGGCCCGGCCGGCGCCAGCCGACAACCCAUCAUCCUUUUCAGGUUGACCUCGGAUCAGGUAGGGAUACCCGCUGAACUUAAGCAUAUCAAUAAGCGGAGGA
rnacentral:misc_RNA from 1 species